AACGAACGCUGGCGGCAUGCCUAACACAUGCAAGUCGAACGAGACCUUCGGGUCUAGUGGCGCACGGGUGCGUAACGCGUGGGAACCUGCCCUUAGGUUCGGAAUAACUCCCCGAAAGGGGUGCUAAUACCGGAUAAUUUCUUCGGACCAAAGAUUUAUCGCCUUUGGAUGGUCCCGCGUUGGAUUAGCUAGUUGGUAGGGUAAGAGCCUACCAAGGCGACGAUCCAUAGCUGGUCUGAGAGGAUGAUCAGCCACACUGGGACUGCGACACGGCCCAGACUCCUACGGGAGGCAGCAGUGGGGAAUAUUGGACAAUGGGCGAAAGCCUGAUACAGCAAUGCCGCGUGAGUGAUGAAGGACUUAGGGUUGUAAAGCUCUUUUAACCGGGAUGAUAAUGACAGUACCGGGAGAAUAAGCGCCGGCUAACUCCGUG
rnacentral:rRNA from 1 species